rnacentral:lncRNA from 1 species
GAAAGCUUGAAUCCAUUCUGAAAUGCAAUAAAGACAAGGCAAAAUGUUAUCUUUGAGCUACAACACUGGGCUUCCAGUGGUCACUGGGAGUGGACACACAUCCAAUGCCAAACAGGCUGAUAACAGACAGGAAGCUUCAUUAUAAUCAGAAAUGGCCUUCACUGCAGCAUUAGCCUGAGAAUGAGAAAACCAUAUGAACAAGAAGCAGCCAUCAGAGAUGCAGGCAUCCACUCAAGCACAGAUGCCAUGCUUACACAGGUCUCUUCUGUCACCAUCUCCCUUUCCGUGAUACAUUGAGCCAGCCAACUCUUGCACCACAAUCUACUGUAAUAGUCACAGACCCAAAGCAACAGAGAAAAGUCACCAUGAACUACA